GACGAACGCUGGCGGCGUGCUUAACACAUGCAAGUCGAACGAAGAGCGAUGGAAGCUUGCUUCUAUCAAUCUUAGUGGCGAACGGGUGAGUAACGCGUAAUCAACCUGCCCUUCAGAGGGGGACAACAGUUGGAAACGACUGCUAAUACCGCAUACGAUCUAAACUCGGCAUCGAGGAUAGAUGAAAGGUGGCCUCUACAUGUAAGCUAUCACUGAAGGAGGGGAUUGCGUCUGAUUAGCUAGUUGGAGGGGUAACGGCCCACCAAGGCGAUGAUCAGUAGCCGGUCUGAGAGGAUGAACGGCCAAAUUGGGACUGGGACACGGCCCAGACUCCUACGGGAGGCAGCAGUGGGGAAUCUUCCGCAAUGGACGAAAGUCUGACGGAGCAACGCCGCGGGAGGGAGGACGGCCUUCGGGUUGGAAAGCUCUGUUAAUCGGGACGAAAGGCCUUCUUGCGAAUAGUGAGAAGGAUUGACGGUACCGGAAGAGAAAGCCACGGCUAACUACGUG
rnacentral:rRNA from 1 species